ACUCAAUUCUUAACCAAGAAUUCAUCUAGUUAAUAAUUCCCUUCUUCCUGGUUUUCUUUGUGAAUUAUCCAAUACAUAAAAUACCUUCAUCUUUUCUUCUUUCUAGCAGCCUGUUUUGAGCAAAUUCUAAACUUCCAGCCAUGAGUACACGUGUUUGGAGGUGAGGUGGAACCUUGGGGAGCGACCGGCAUUAACGAGUUGCACCCAGUCGGACCGAAAUUACUUUCAAGUUAGUGGCUUACCACGAUACAGUAUUUUGAUAAGUAGUAAUCUUCUUUCCUACUUGUUCUUAGUCAAUAUUAUCUACUUAUUUUCCUUACAAUUUGAAAACUAUUUCGCAUAUGAUAUUGACUAAUGUCCACCAGUUUGAACAAAAUACUUUGUUGCACGACUCGGAUUUUCCACCAUCGGGAGUCGUGAUGGCGCCUACUAGUAGAAGUUAGGCAAGCUGCGGA
rnacentral:lncRNA from 1 species